AUAUGAUAUUAUAUUGGUACGCUAUACUGUGCAAAGCCCAUAUUUUUUAAAGUAGGAAAGUUGGUGAAUCGUAAGCCUGGGUAUUGUAAUAUGGAAUUAUAAACGUGCUUAACAUUAAAGCAAAACAUAGGUGAUGGAGACUAUAAUUGCUAUUCCAUAUGCAGUCUAAACUCAAUUUUUAGCAUAUUAUAGGGUCAAACUUUGUACCUUUAAAAAUGAUUUGAAGUGUUACAAAAGUUUUUUGUAAGUGAGCAUUUGAACGCAGUGAUGGCUUUGACGUUUGGAAAAUUGCCAUUUUACUCAAGUAUAGGGAAUUGGAUCGUUUUCCAGCUCUGAAUUCUAGGAACCACUAUGAACGUUCGAUUUUAAAGCGUAAUAUUUUCUGUGGAAUAGAAAUGCCUAUAACAAUUCGCUACGAUAAAAGAGGAAGGGACAAGC